rnacentral:lncRNA from 1 species
CUCAGAUAAGUCUGCUCAAACUUGGGUCUGCCGUCCUUGGCAAGCUACUGUCUGUCGCUCUGACAAGGUGUUUAGGGUUUUAUUGUUUUCAUUUCUUGGUUUUGUUUUGUGGAGGCGGCGCUCCUUGGCUGUGACCUUCUGCAUACUGUUGAUAGAAGGUAUAGUUCGUGAUAGUACCUGCAAAGAUGGAAAAUGAACUGGCUCAACUUUCAAUUAAUGAUGAAGAAGAUGAAGUUUUUCAAAUAUAACCAGAUCAUAACAGAGAAAGAAGGGGGAGAUCUUUCAACUUGUGGGUUGUUUCCUAACUGCUAGCGUCAUCCAUUUUCCAGCAAUGAAGAGUACUUUGGCUAAUUUGUGGCAUCCAGUUUGGGGCAUUUAGAUCCGAGAUCUGGGAGAGAAAAGGUAUUUGUUCCAAUUUUUUCAUACUAUGGAUAUGGAAAGGGUUAUUAAGGGUUCUCCUUGGACCUUCAACAACCAUUUGCUGCUUCUUUUUAAAUUGAAUUAGAGAGAGGAUACACUACAAGUACCCUUAGUUAUGACGUCGUUUUGGGUUCAAAUACAUGAUGUCUCCAUUGGGUUAUUUUCUGAAAGCUUGGCUGUUCAAAUGGGGAAUUUUUUAGGGGUUUUUCCAGAAUAUGAUGGCUCUAAUUUAGGCAAGGAGAAUAGGAAUUUUAUGAAGAUCAGAGUACAAAUUGAUGUAAGGCAUCCUUUAAAAAGCAAGAAGCAGGUUUUGUUCUCUGGAAGAAGGUCAUAUGUUACUUUCAAAGAUGAGCUAUUAUCGUUAUUUUGUUUUUUCUACAGAAGAUUGGGUCAUAGCGAUUCCUUUUGUGAAGCAAAGAUGACACUAGGGGUGGAAGUAGCUAAAAUGGGAUGGAAUUUGUCAUUACGAGCUCAGACCCGUAGAGCAUUAGCAAUGAACAACAUAUGGUUAAGAGAUGAUGGGUAGGGGAAAGUGGGCGAAGUGGGGGAUGUAUUGAAAGAGGAGGAAGUGGGUACUGGAGGGUGGAAAAUAAAAGAAGAUGCGUAAAACUUGUGGAUCCAGUUCUUGGUUUUAAUUUAGAAAGGAGUUCACCAGGUUCUAAUCAAAGGGUGACAGAGGUUUUGUCAAAACAACUUCAUGAAUCCAUGGAACACAAUUUGGAGGACCCAACAUUAGUAGGAGAGGAGGGAAAGAAAAGAUCUAGAGUUGAAUAUGAUAAUUCCAACGAAAAUGAUGAUAACAGUAAGGUGAUGUCCAGAAAUAGGAAAUUGGAGGAAUGCAAUCUAAUAUUAUCGGCGGCUGCCAAAAGGCAAACCGACCGAACGCAAUGAACAUUUUAAGUUGGAAUGUUUGGGGUUUGGGGAGACCUCAAACAAUCAGGAGACUUUGGCACUCGCUGAAGACUUGUAAUCCCCAAUUAGUCUUCUUUAUGGAGACUAAAAUUUGUAGUUUACAAAUGGAGAGAGUUCGAAGAAGUUGUGGCUUUGCGAAUAGAAUUGAGGUCUAUUCGGAUGGAACGAGAGGAGGCUUGUGUAUGGCAUGGAAAAAUGAUACUGAGAUAACACUUAAAAGUUUUUCAAAGAGACACAUUGAUGUGAUCAUGGAUGACACAGAAAUCAGCAGAAAGUGGCAUCUCAGAGGCUUUUAAGGUACACCUUAUGCUCAAGAUAGAGAAGACUCUUGGGCUGUACUAAAAAUUCUUAACCACGAUGAAGAUACCCCAUGGCUUGUUUGCGGGGACUUUAAUGAAAUUAUGUAUGGCUUUGAAAAACAGGGAGGCUUACCUAGAGAAGAAAAAAGGAUGGAACUGUUCCAAAAGACGCUAGAGGAAUGUCAACUAAAUGAUGUGGGCUUUUCAGGGAGGUGGUUUGCUUGGGAGAGGGGGAAUCUACCUGAGACAAAUAUACGAGAACGACUCGAUAGAGGGGUUGCUAAUACAAGUUGGAUGGCUUUAUUCCCUGAAGUGGUAGUCCAACAUCUGGUUAAUUCUUUUUCAAAUCAUUGGCCCCUAUUGAUUGAGACUAGUAAAGAAGAGGUCAAGAGAAGAAAAGUUAAUUUCAGAUUUGAAGCAUGAUGGACUCUAGAAGACUCAUUUAAUGAAGAAGUUAAAAACCUUUGGGGAAGGGCAGUAGGAGAUCUUUCGCAAAAGCUUGAGUUUCUGAGAAUAGGACUGAAAAGAUGGGCGGGACAGAUACGAACAAAUAGAAAUUGGAAGAAGGAGAUGUUAAUAAAGAAAUUAUCAGAAUUAGUAGAAGCUGAAAGGGAUGAUAGGAAUUUAGCUAACAUGAUUGACGCAAAAAUUCAGCUAAACUUUGAAAUUGAAAAGAAAGAAUAUUACUGGGAACAGAGGGCUCAGUUAAACUGGUUGCAACUUGGCGAUAGAAACACAGCUUUUUUUCACAGUCAUGCAACACAAAUGAGAAAGAAAAAUCAGAUUAAGAAGCUACAAAAUGACAAUGGAGAGUUCACGAAAAACGUUCGGGAAAUAGAGGACAUUGCACGGGUGUAUUUUGAGAAUUUAUUCAAAGCUAGGAGGACUGCUUUUAAUGAACAUAUUUUUUCGAGUAUUAAACGCUGUAUCUUUGAUGAAGAUAAUAGUAAGCUCUUAGCGCCUUAUGAGGAAGUGGAGAUUCGGGGAGCUUUGUUUGAGAUGGGGUCCACAAAAGCACCAGUGGAAGAUGUAUUUCCAACCCCUUUUUACCAAAGAUGCUGGGAUAUCAUUGGGAGUGAUAUUGUUUCCUUUUGCCUAAAUCUUCUAAAUGGAAAGAUGGAGGUUAGUUCUAUUAAUGCAACUCAGAUUAUGUAACACCCCUAUCCCGUAACCGUCGCCAGAAUAGGUAAGGGGCAUUACCGGACUUGUAACUCAUGUUAGAACAGUAAAAUUUUGAACUUUUUCUUGAAAUAAAGAUCGUUCGUUUAAAUAAGUACUAAGCACAACCAGAGGUAAAAUUUAAACUUCACUAAGUAAACAUUCAAAAGAUGCCAUUUUCGCAUGGCUUAUAUACAUUAACCAAAGAUAUUCUUCCGCCACUAGUCUAUUCUAUACAUGCCAUAAGAUAAUCCAAAACGUAGCAGUACCAAACAAUGGAUAGUGAUAGUGUGACUAGUUGCUGAUGAUCCCCGAGCUUGUAGCUUCCAAAUGAGAUCUAUAAAACAGAGCAAACAGAGUAAACGGAGUAAGCAUUACAAUGCUUAGUAAGUUUUAAGCAGUGUCAACAGAUAACAAUCAAAUUAUAACAUAGUUGUUCGUAUAGUUUAUUUCACUCUUCCUUCGGGCAUACCAUCCCUUUUUCCGAAUAUGCACAUCUCAUCAUAUACAAUAGGCAGAUAAACUUUCAUAUAAAAGUGAGCUCAUGUGACAUAGAUAUAUCGUAUGAUUUCACAUAACCUCUCACACUGAUCCGAUGUCACAUAAUCAUAGGAAUAGUCUCAUAGAUUGCUCUCUAUGCAUCACAUAACUACCUUAUGAUUUAGUGCAAAUCAAGCUCACAUAUAAACUUGGAGUACAUACUUGUUUAACCUUUCGCAUUGAAUAUAUUUAUAAGCAAUUCUUAUUACGAAGUCUUACCCGGACAUAAUCUCCACACGAAAUUAUCGGGUCUUACCCGGACAAAAUCCCCACACGUAGUCAUCGGGUCUUUAGAGCUCAGAUAUAGUACGAGCACGAAGCUUACGGACAUUAAUCAGUGAUAAUAUUCUCGCAUAAAGCCUGCGGGGUUUUAACCCGGAUAUAGUGCUGACACAAAUGCCCUUCGGGACGUAUCACAUUUAUACACUUUCACAUCCAUCACGUUGGCCACUCGGCCCUGUCACAUAUAUACACUUUCACAUUCAUCACAUCGGCCAUUAGGCCUUAUCACAUAUAUACACUUUCACAUUCAUCACAUCGGCCAUUAGGCCUUAUCACAUAUAUACACUUUCACAUUCAUCACAUCGGCCAUUAGGCCUUAUCACAUAUAUAUACACUUUCACAUUCAUCACAUCGGCCAUUAGGCCUUAUCACAUAUAUACACUUUCACAUUACCAACCCUUUUAUUCAUACACAAAGAUCAACUUAGCCAAAGGCCGGUAGCUCAUUUAUCAACUGAGCGAAUACUUAUUUGUAAGGGCUCAACUAAUUCAAAGCACAUACGAAACAUACCUCAAUGUUUGGAUGUUUCAAGCGUAUUAACUAAAAUUUUUACAGCAAGAUCAUUCAUUCCCAAAUCACAUACCUUCGGAAUUUAACCGGAUAUAGCUACUCGUUCAAAUGCCUUUGGGACAUAGCCCGGUUAUAGUAACUCGCACAAAUUCCUUCGGGACUUAACCCGGAUUUAGUAACUAGCACAAAUGCCUUCGGGCUUAGCCCGGAAUUAGUAUCUCGCACAAAUGCCUUCGGAUCUUAGUCCGGAUUUAGUAUCUCGCACAAAUGCCUUCGGAUCUUAGUCCGGAUAUGGUCACUUAGCACAAAGCCUUCGGGACUUAGCCCAGACAUCAUUCAAAUAACCAUGCACAUUUAACAAUAAAUCAUGGCACAUUCGUAUUUCAUUUUCGUUAGCAAAACUCAAACACAAGACACUUAUCAUUCUUGCAAUUUCGGCUCAAUAGCCACACACAAAGAGCAUGAUUUUGAUUUGCUUAAAACAUGAUCUAAUCAAAUCAUAAUUUAAGCUCUAUUACUCAAGAACUUACAAUAUCACGAUUUAGAAUUCAAGUAUGGGUUUAAUCAAUAGCUUGUGAGCAACUAAAACAAGUUUAUCAAGGUUCACAACAUAAUCUCAAAUUCAGCACAAGCUGUUUUUCCUGAGCAAUAGUCACUAAAUUAUUUAUAACUAGAGCUAAAAAACUCCAAAUCACUUUCCGUUAAUUUUUCCUGAAUAUAGACUCGUAUAUCUUCCACCCAUAAAAUUUCCAGAAUUUUAGGUUUGGCCAAUCAAUACCAGAUUUUUCUUAAAGUUUCCCCUGUUUCACUGUUUGACUAAUCUAACCACUCUUCACUACGAAUCAAAUUUCUCAUUUUACAGAAUUCAAAAUGUGUUUUAUUUGAUUCCAUUUGAAACUAGACUCAUUAAUGAGUCUAAGCAUAUAAAUUUUAUCUUAUAAACAUUUUUUUACAAUUUAUAAUGAUUUUCUAAAAACAGAACAGGGGAUUUCGGAGUCAUUCUGACACCGUCUCACACAACUUUAAAUAUCUCAUUAUCGGAAAUUCCUUUGCUUACACGGUUUCUUUUAUAAGAAACUAGACUCAUUAAGCUUUAAUUUCAUGUCUCAUUCAGCCUCUAAUUCAAGUCCAUAAAUUUAUGGUGAUUUUCUAAAGUCACGUUACUGCUGCUGUCCGAAGCAGACUAUUUCAAAUUACCCUUAAAUUCCCAAGCUCAAACACUUAAGAACUUACCAUUUGAGCUUAGAACAUAUCAUGGCCACAUCAUAUCUUAUUAAAUCAACUCAUCAUGUCCUAUUAUAAUUGAAUUUACUCAACGUUUAAACACUUAAAACUUACCUUGGAUGUGGUCGAACAAUUUCGGCAGCUAUUCGAUCACUUCUUCCCUUCCCUUAUCCAACUUUGGUCCUCUAAGCUCUUGAGCUUAAUUUAACAAAUAAAUUGAUUUAAUCAUUUGAGCAUCAAAAGAGGAACUCAAGGUACUUAGCCCAUAUAUACAUACAUUAGACAUUAAAGUCACAUACAUAUGAAAUCAUAAAUCAAUUCAACAUAUUAGCCCACACUCUCUUUUAGCCGAUUGUCUAAGCCAAGAUAAAAGCAUCAAUAUGCUUGCCUCUAGCCGAAUACAUGCAACACCAAGCAAGAAUGAUGCAUCCAUGGCCGAGUAUCAUCUUCAUAACUUUACAAAAACAUUUGCCAUGAGCUAGCUUCUAUACUUGGUGGCCACUCCAAAUAUACAAAGAUUUUCAAUGAUAGAGCAUUAACAUACCUUAAUACAUCAAAAUAAUUAAAUUCUUCCCAUGGCACACUAAAACCGAAUAUGUCUUAUUCAAAUAUAAAUUCUCAUAUUUCAUUUAUUUAACCAUUUAACCCUCCUAUCAAAUAAUUUUCACAAACUAAUCUUAAACUCAAAAUCACAUAAAAUCGUAACACAAAAGGCAUUCAUCUAACACUUGAUUUCUAAAUUCUAACAUCAAACUCAAAUUUCUUAGCUCAUCAACUCAUGGCCGAACAUCAAUUAUUCACCAAAACAAAAAUUAACUCAUGGGUUUUAGAGAAAAUUAAGUAAGGAAUUCAAUGAUACUAAAAAUUAACAAAAACAACCUGAAUUUCACCUUGAAUUUUUGCUUCCAAAUGGCCGAAACUUCAAAGCCACAAAUUUUAUUUUCUUUCUCCUUUGUUCGGCCUCCAAGAUGAACUACAUGCAUGUUCUUUUUUUCUUUUUUUUUAUGCCCCAUACCGUCCAUAUCAAUUGUCUAAGGUUAAAUAUCAUCACAAAUACUCCAACUUACAAAAACAACUUCAAUUCGGCCCUGAAGAUACAAACAUGCAUGGCUUUCCAUUUUAUGUUUUAUAAUACUUAUUUUUAUGUUUUAUAAUACUUAUAAAAAUAAUUAUCUCACAAAUAACUUUAAAAUAAACAUAUAAAGACAUCAUGCAUUAAGCCAUUACCAUCCAUAUAUUUAUUAAUGAUAUAAUUGCCAUUCAAAACCUCAAUAUUCUAAAGACAUAACACUUUAACAUUUUCAUGAUAGCAUGCUUAUUAAUCAAUUGAUGCAUUUUAAUCCUUUUUAAUGACAUAAAGAAAGAAAGAAAAAUAUUUACCAAGAGUUUCAAACUACUUGGCCGAAUAUCAAACCUCCAAACAACCAAAAAAUUUAACUCAUGGAAUGGAUAGAAUUUGAACAAAUCACCAAAAUUAUAUAUAAAUUUUCAAGAAUUUCAAAGUACUUACCUCUUUCUAAAUAUUCUCCAAGCCGAAAUCAUACAAAGAAAUUUUUUUCUUCCUUCUAAUCUCAAGUUACGGCAAUGGUAGAGUGAGGAUGAACCAACUUUGUUUUUAUCACCCAUUUCUUUUAAUAUAAGUUCAUAUUUCAUAUUAUUUAUUCAUUUAACAUUUAAUUUAUUAAUAUAAAAGGCAUAUAUUUUGUAUCCCAUGCUCCUUAUUUUAUCAUACUUCCCAUGAAACACUAACUUAACAUGUUUAUGACAUGUUCUUGCCCAUCACACUUGGUCUACCAUACUUGUCAUGGCCGGCCACUACUAAUUAGGGGGGAAAUUGACAUGCAAGUCCCCCCUUUUUAUUUCAUGCACUAAUAGAUCCUUAUGCUUUGACCUAUCACAUUUCAAAAUUUUCUCACAUAAGUCCUAUUUGAUAAAAUUCACUUACUAUUAACAAAAUUCAAACAUGAAAUUUUCACACAUGCAUAUGUACAUAUAAUGAGCAUCAACUAUGACGGUUAAUUAUCUUUAUGACUCGGUUUAGUGGUCCCGAAACCACUUUCCGACUAGGGUCACUUUAGGGGUGUCACAGAUUAUGCUUAUUCCAAAGAUUAUUAAUCCUUCUAAUCUGACUCAUUUUCGGCCAAUUAGUCUCUGUAAUGUUAUUUAUAAACUUGUGGCAAAGGUGAUUGCAAAUAGAUUUAGAGGAGUCAUUGAUAAAUGUAUUGAUGAAGCACAUAAUGCAUUUGUGCUAAGGAAACUCAUAACAGAUAAUGCACUAGUGGCCUAUGAAGUUUUACAUUCAAUGAAACAGAAGAGAGGGGGGAAGAAGGGAUUUAUGGCCAUCAAGUUAGAUAUGAGUAAGGCCUACGACAAAGUAGAAUGGAAUUUUAUUCAAGAAAUUAUGAGUAGAAUGGGUUUUUCUCAAAAAUGGAUUGAAUCUAUUAUGAAAUGUAUCUUUAGUGUUUCUUAUUCAGUAGUGGUUAAUGGUAACAAAAGAGAUAUAUUCUAUCCAACAAGGGGACUUAGACAAGGAGAUCCAUUAAGCCCUUUUUUAUUUCUGAUAUGUGGAGAGGGUCUAUCAGGUCUAAUGCGAAUGGCUAUUAGCGAAGGAGUUAUAAAAGGUGUUAAAGCUAGUAGAAGUGGCCCCAGGGUGUCUCAUUUACUAUUUGCUGAUGACUGCAUAAUGUUUUAAGAAGCAACAAGAAGGGGAGUAAGAGCAAUCAAGCAGAUUUUGCGUGAAUAUAAAAAUAGUUCAGGUCAGUUCGUAAACUUUGAAAAAUCAGCAGUAUUUUUUAGCAACAACAUAUCUGUGGAAGUUAGGCAAAUAGUGAUCACCCAAUUGGGAAUCCACAGCUCCAAUGAAUUAGAAAGGUAUUUAGGACUGCCAAGUUUAGUUGGGAAAAGGAAAAAAGAAUCUUUUCAAGCAUUUAAGGACAAAAUGAAACAGCGGAUUGAUAAUUGGUGUAUGAGAUUACUGUCUCAAGGUGGAAAGGAAAUAUUUAUUAAAUCAGUUUUACAAGUGAUACCGACUUACUCAAUGGCUUAUUUUUUUAUUACUGAAGACAUUAUGUGAUGAAAUGGAAGGCAUUGUAGCCAAGUUUUGGUGGCAAAAGGGACGUGGAAAGAAAGGAAUUCAUUGGUGUUUAUGGAGAAAUAUGUGUUCUUUAAAAGAAGUUGGAGGUAUGGGUUUCCGAAUUUUUUGCCAAUUUAAUGUUGCGUUAUUAGCCAAGCAGGGCUGGAGCCUUAUUAAUAAUCCGAGUUCCUUAUUAGCCAGAGUUUUUAAAGCCAAAUAUUAUCCAUAAUCAAAUUUUUUAAACGCAUAGUUGGGUUAGUUACCUUCAUAUACCUAGAAGAGCAUUUAGGCAGCACGAGGGCUCAUUCAGGAUGGGUUGUGUUGGAAAGUCAGUCGAGGGACCGAGAUUGAUGUCUGGACUGAUUGCUGCAUUCCUGGAUGUGAAGCCAUUGGUAGACAAGGUAGAGAGACAAACAGUGAUGUCCUAUUAGUUUCGGAUUUAAUCAAUAAUACUAGUAGGACUUGGAAGCGAGACCUGAUCAAUAAUACCUUUCAAUCAGGCAUAGCGCAAAAAAUUUUGAAGAUUCCUUUGGCAGAGUCAGAACAUGUUGACUUUCAGGUGUGGAAAGAGGAACCUUCAAGGGAGUUCUCAGUAAGAAGCGCCUAUAAACUAUUACAUCAUUCUAGCUCGAAUCCUAAUAUUUAUCCAUUACAACCCAAAAUAAGAAACUUCUAUAGAAAAUUGUGGGAUUUACAGCUACCGGGUAAAAUAAAGAUACUAGUUUAGCGAAUUUCCUGGAACUACAUCCCUUCCCUAAUAAAUCUAAGAUCCAAGAAAGUAAUAGAGAAUGCUCUGUGCCCUCGGUGCAGACUCAAAGAGGAAGACAGUAACCAUAUCUUUAGAUUUUGUCCUGCAAUCAGUGAAAUAUGGAAUCUCAUUAAUCUCUCUUAGACCAUUGAUCAUGAUAAUCAAAGUUUCUAGAAGUGGCUUAUCUGGGUUUUUGAAAGGAGUACAAUGGAGCAAUGUCGGUCCUUUUGUUGUGCGCUAUGGUGCGUUUGGAGUUCCCGAAAUCAGCUUGUACAUGAAAAGAAAAUCAUACCAGUUAGGGAUUUAGCAAGGAAAGUCAGCAGUUACAUAGCAGAACUGGAAGGGAUCCGAAUGAAAACAUUUACCUCUUCUUCCAAAAGGGACAACAGUUAUACUAGGGCGACGGAGGGUACCACAGUUCAGUUUGAUGCCGUUUUUGACAAAAGAAAUGAUAGAUCUGCCUCAGGUAUAGUCGUUCGAGACUAGACAGGAGCUUUAAAAGCCUCAAAGUCAGUUAUACAUGAGGAUACCCCGACCCCGUUCGCAGCAGAAGCCCUCGCAGGAUUAGAUGCCAUUAAGUUAGUAAUAGAAAUGAGGUUAACAACAGUAACAAUAGAGAGGGACUCGAGAAUAGUCAUUCAAAAAUGUCAAUCGACAGAAAUUGAUAAGUCGGUCCUUGGGGUGAUUAUUUAUGACAUACAGACCAGAAAAUCCAGGGGUUCAAGACGUUACUUUCAAGUUUAUCCAUAGAACGAAUAACAUUCAAGCCCAUAAUCUAGCAAAAAAAGGGUUGGAGAGAAGGGAGGACUCAUACCUGGGAGGGAAGACGACAAUUCAUAGAGUUGCAGACUCAGAGGGAAGAUGGAGAGAAUCGCCAGAUUGAAGAUGAAUGGACAAGGAGUAGGGUGCAGUUAAGGGUAGCAAGGAAUUGAUAUCUUAGGGAACGACUAUCUGCAAAGGCAUGGCUGUUGGGACGUGAAAAGACGAGUAAAGAAUUAAAUGGCCAGGCUGUUAGAUGUGACUGGGAGAUUUUCUGUUGAUUUCCUUUUGUUUUUCUAUUUUUUUAUUCUUUAUUGUCUUUUAUCAUCAUUUCUGAGAAACGGGCUAGCUAUUAAGGAAGCCCAACUUAGUUUGUUUUGUUUGUUUGGCAGUCGGACUUAAGCCCAAAUGUUAAUUUGGGUAUUGGUUUUAUUCUAUUUGUAAAGAGCCC